rnacentral:tRNA from 1 species
GGCGCUGUGGCUCAAAUGGUAGAGCACUAGCUUUGAGCUCUAAGAGCUGAGGGACAGCGCCA